GUUGAUAACUACAGAAGCCCAAAUUCAUUCUAUCUGAAUGAAACGAAACGAAAAAGAAAUUCCCUGCUGAUCGUGCCGUCGCCGCGCCGCUGCUUCCGUCGCCGUUUGCCUUUCAGCCGCGUCUCCCAUCGAGAUCGAGAUUGAAACCAUGCUUGAGCAUAUGAACAUUCACAUUGAUCCAGAUUUGAUAACUGAAAUACUGUUGAGAUUGCCAGUAAAGUCUCUUAUGCGUUUCAAGGCUGUGUGCAAGCUUUGGCGCUCUCUGAUUUCCGAUCCCCAUUUUGCAACAUCACAUUUUCAACGUGCUUCUCCUACACUCCUCUUCGCUAGUUGUGAUGCCAUUCGAACCAUAGACUUUGAGGGUCCGCUUCACUAUGAUCAUGUUUCUCAACCAAUCAAUUAUCAUUUAGUGUCGUCUACUCCUAUUAAAAUUGCAGGUUCAUGUAGAGGCUUUCUGCUAAUCGAAUAUAAUGAUACUCUUUACGUGUGGAAUCCAUCCACACAUGUCCACAUAUCAAUACCACCUUCAUUUCCGGUUAAUGUUGUUGACAGCGACACCGAUGAUGUUUUUACUCAUCUAUAUGGAUUUGGUUACCAUUCCUCAAAAGAUGACUACUUGGUGGUUCAAGUGCCUGUUCCGUACAAUUACGCAACUACUUAUUUACCACAUGUGCAGUUUUUCUCAUUCAGAGCUAAUAUGUGGAAAUAUACUGAGGGUGUUGAUUUGCCUCCCUUGAACUCUAUUGACUGUAGUCACGGGUUGCUCUUCAACGAGGCCAUUCACUGGGUGGCUCGAAACUGGGUGGAUGGUAUUACGACAUAUUUUAUUAUUGCCUUUGAUUUAAUGGAAAAGAGACUUCUAGAGAUACCCCAGCCUCAUGAUUUUCUUGCCCAUCGUUAUUUGACUAAUUUGUGGGUGCAUGGAAGAUAUUUUAGUCUAUCAGUUGAGCGGAGAGAUUAUACAUGUGAAAUAUGGGUUAUGAAGAAAUACAAAGUACAGACAUCUUGGACCAAGACUGUUGUUCUAUCUUUCGACAGCGUUGACUAUCCAGUAUGCUCUACAAAAGGUGGUGAUAUUGUUAUGUUAUCUGGAGAUAUACUGAAAAAGUAUAGUGACGAAGGAGUAGUACAAGGAGAACAACUAGAUUCUCAGAACGAUUCUAGUUAUUGUGGUUUUCUCAAUCCAUCAGCUCCCCUGUAUACAGAGUCAAUGCUUUCACUCCCUGAUAUUAGUGACUGAAAUCUCCACAAGAGCUUCGCUUUGUAAGAAAGACACUGGUGAAAGAUAGCUCUAAUGAUAUUGUACAAACAUGAGCUUCGCUUUGUAAUCUCUAUCUGCAUUGGAAGUUGGAACCAUAUAUUGCUGCAUACAAGUUGCUGCAUAUAAGGGAUCGUGUCUUGUUUGCAAAUAAGGUAAAUGGACUUCCAUUCUGAGUUAAGUUAAUUGCUGCAUUUAAAUUGGUUUUUAGUAGUAAGAAAUAAGAAUCUAUCACUUUUUAUUACCCCUGAGGCCAUCUCGUACUGGUUAAGUUAUUGCUAUUAUAUUCAUAGUAGUUUUUUAGUGGUUACUCUUUCUUUGUAUAUUUUCAACUGUCUCUAUAAUAUGUAAAGUAAUGUUAAUUGAUUCUACUUUGUCUCCUUUUUGUUUUUAGCUUCAUCAAAUGGUGCUUGAAUAUCUGGUUUUCAUUUGUUUUGGCUUUAUGAUAAUGUUCGUGGAUGUUUUCCCUAAAAUUGGUAACUAGAAUCUUAUCAUAUGCUGAAUCAUGACAUGGCAUCUGUUCAGGGUUUAACGGACUCUGAUUUAAUCAAUUAUGGCCCUAGGGCCUGAUGAAGAUUAAAUCUUACUUAGUUUCUUUGAGUCUUGGCAGUACUAAGCUAGAAUAGGGAUUAAAGCUCGAUUUCAGUUUAGCUGAUACCUUAAUCAAAGGCAGAGUCAAGUCUUUUAAAAUAUUGAAAAGCAUUUCAGAACUAGUUCAUACCAUCCAUGUCCUAUCUCUAGUACAUGAAUACUUCUUGCUCUAAAAUUUGAAUGUCUCUCUUUUUAACCAAAGAGUAACUUAUUAUGGCUGAAAAUCCCUAGCAAUGGUUUUGCUUAGUAGUUCCCCUGCAAUCAUAUAUGUAUAUAUAUAUAUAUGUGUGUGUAUUAUUUUGAACAAAGUUUGAACCUGACUGUGUUUGGUAUUUUAAAAUGGUUGCAGUUAGCUGGCAUACAACACACUUUUGGUCACUGGGAAUCUAAGGAACCCUCAUUGCACCUCCAAAGAUAAAUACAUGGAGUCAUUAUUAAACCCUCAUUGCUUCACUGCUUUCUCCUCAAGUUCUUUCCGAUGCUAGGAACCUUAUGUGGACACUUUGUGCAAGUGAUAGGAUGGGUUCUUGAUUCAUUAGAUUAUUAGAGAUAGUUUCUUGUUUUAAUGAUGAUAGAUUCAAAAGCAGAAUUGCUACUGGAUAAAUUUCAUGAUCCCUAUAGAUGAUCAAAUUAAAUUGUCAUAUUUUCACAAUUCGUUAAAA